CCUACGGGUGGCUGCAGUCGAGAAUCAUUCACAAUGGGGGAAACCCUUAUGGUGCGACGCCGCGUGGGGGAAUGAAGGUCUUCGGAUUGUAAACCCCUGCCAUGUGGGAGCAAAUUAAAAAUAUAGUACCACAAGAGGAAGAGACGGCUAACUCUGUGCCAGCAGCCGCGGUAAUACAGAGGUCUCAAGCGUUGUUCGGAAUCACUGGGCGUAAGGCGUGCGUAGGCUGUUUCGGAAGUCGGUUGUGAAAGGCGCGGGCUCAACCCGCGGACGGCACAUGAUACUGCGAGACUAGAGUAAUGGAGGGGGAACCGGAAUUCUCGGUGUAGCAGUGAAAUGCGUAGAUAUCGAGAGGAACACUCGUGGCGAAGGCGGGUUCCUGGACAUUAACUGACGCUGAGGCACGAAGGCCAGGGGAGCGAAAGGGAUUAGAUACCCCAGUAGUC
rnacentral:rRNA from 1 species